AUGGUAGGAGUUGAUCGUUCCGAUUGUUUUUUGCAUCUGAUUGAAAGAGUGGUUGUUCGUCUUAAAGGGUGGAAGGAGAAGAUUUUAUCUAUGGGAGGGAAAUAAAUUUUAUUGAAAGCGGUGAUUCAAUCCAUUCCUGUUUUUGCCAUGGGGGUUUUUAGAAUCUUGAAGAAAAUUUGCAAAGAGAUAACUGAUGCCAUGGCUGCGUUUUGGUGGGGGGAUGAUGAUAAUGGUAAAUGGAUGCAUUGGUUUGCAUGGUGGCGUAUGUGUAUCUCGAAG
rnacentral:rRNA from 1 species